AGCCACGACACGCGACAGCACGCGCCGAUUAAACCCGCUAGAGAAACUAACAUCAGGAACACGCCGAUGACAAUCACAGGCGUGUCAAGGAACUUCUCGCAUUCAGAUGUACCAUGGUUUCGGAGCCAGAUCCCCGCGCCCAGGAUUGGGAUGGAGAGCAGGAAGGUGAUGAAGUUGAGGAUUCCUACCAAGUUGUUACUCAGACGAAACAUGGCAGAUUAAUUGGUGAGUCGGUUGUAUUAUCCUUGGUGUUUGGUUAGAGAGAAAGCGUGAGAAUGUGGCAGAAAGAGUGAGAAGAAAAGCUAAAAAAGGUAUGAAUUUGAGAGAGUUGUUAGGAACAUCAAUAUAUGUAGCGAGGAUGGAGAAGGGAUUAUGGAGCAAGAAACAGAGGACAGAUUACCGAGAAGGUUCUACGUUGUGGGGGCGCUGAUAUCUUCACGCGCUCGUGACGCGUAUUUGGG
rnacentral:misc_RNA from 1 species